rnacentral:rRNA from 1 species
GAUGAACGCUGGCGGCGUGCCUAAUACAUGCAAGUCGAGCGAACAGACGAGGAGCUUGCUCCUCUGACGUUAGCGGCGGACGGGUGAGUAACACGUGGAUAACCUACCUAUAAGACUGGGAUAACUUCGGGAAACCGGAGCUAAUACCGGAUAAUAUAUUGAACCGCAUGGUUCAAUAGUGAAAGCCGGUUUUGCUGUCACUUAUAGAUGGAUCCGCGCCGCAUUAGCUAGUUGGUAAGGUAACGGCUUACCAAGGCGACGAUGCGUAGCCGACCUGAGAGGGUGAUCGGCCACACUGGAACUGAGACACGGUCCAGACUCCUACGGGAGGCAGCAGUAGGGAAUCUUCCGCAAUGGGCGAAAGCCUGACGGAGCAACGCCGCGUGAGUGAUGAAGGUCUUCGGAUCGUAAAGCUCUGUUAUUAGGGAAGAACAAAUGUGUAAGUAACUAUGCACGUCUUGACGGUACCUAAUCAGAAAGCCACGGCUAACUACGUG